GACAAUGACUCUGUGGCUGCUGGCUGUAACACUAGGGCAAAGCCAGGCCCAUCUGGCUACAGGGUGUACAGUGUGAAUUGCUUGGGUAAUGCCCCUAGCCUCACCCCAUGGACCGGAUCCCCUGGGACCCCUUGUGAGAGUACUAUAACUUCCAGCAUGCUCACCUCUCCUGGGACAGUGUCCUCUGCCUGAAGAAGACGCCAGCCACUGCCUGCUCUCUUCUAGGUCUCAGGACCUUAUUGGAUCCAGCCAGUGGUUAGUCAUGAGGAGCAGCAGAAAGACACCGGCAACUGAGAAAUGUGGGGAAGCGUUUUAGUCGGUGGUCUGGACUCUUGUGUGAGCAGUUUCACAGAUGGAUGCUUCCGAACUGGAAGGUCUUCAGUGUCUCAUUAAAGAGACGGCACACUGCUUUUAAGAAAUGAAGGAAUGCCCAGUCGCUGUCAGCUUGAGAACAGAGUGUUGACCUUCAGUGCCCUUGAGAAAGGCUCUGUGUGCCACAGUACACCUGCGCAUCUCCACCCUAUCUGCUGGGGAAGGGCAUAUCACCCAGAUCAUUCUGAAUCAGGCCAGGACUCACUUCUGGAAACAUGAGAUAUGAAGGGACUGUGUCAUUUGCAGGGACAGCACCUCUGGGGAAUUGACAAACCAGCCCGCAAAUUCUUGUGUCAAUGAAGCCAGCCCAUGGUCAUGUCCACAAGUGCAGGCACACUGAUGCAUGUAGGCAUUUAACAGGUGUGAAUUGGCUGUGGUUAGCAUAGACUUCCUGCUGUGAGCUGGCCUCUUCCCUUCACUGAAUCCCGAAUGCCCAGUGUUUGCACCUCCACAGCACUGGACGGGGUCUGUGAAGUGCACUCCUGUUGACAUGGGUCAUAUACAGAUGCUCUGUGCAGAAUGCACAGAGACUGGGAAUGUGCAAUGCUCAAAGCCUAUUGGUUUCCACAGAACAUCUCAGAAGAUCCCAUAUGGAAGACAGAACCCACAACAACACACGUGUAAAGGAGGCAGACUCAAAGGACACUGUGGAACGAUCUAAGACCAUCUGAGUAGUCCUGGCAACAUUGACCUGAGACAUGGUGCAUUCAAGACUCCUGGUGUCAGCAACUGGGAACCCUGCUCUAGUGCUCAAGCAUAAAUUAGACACAGGAAGAAGGUGUAAAGAAUGUUAAGAGACUGUGAGCAAUGAGAAUGAAAAGGUGUGUGCUCCACACCCCCUUCUUUGAACAAUAUGGAGAUGCCUGGCAGGGCCUACAGAAGUUGGUGGAAGGCCAGGAAAAACUCCUACUCUUGUUCUUCAAGCCUUAAUCAAGCCAAGCUAGGAUACACACCCUGGAUCCUCUGUCUCCAGUCCUUGCUGCCCCUGAACCUUCUUUCUACAAACUUUAGAGAAACCACAGUCUAUGUUGACCAAGUCAUCACUCACUGCACAGAGACAGCUUGAUGUGAAUGGUCUCAUCUCAGUCAAGUGAAGCUGCUGCCUGAGAGGAGGUGAGGAUCGUCACGAAACCCCAAGUUGUUAAAGGUUUCAUUACAGAGGUGAGAAUGGUACUGGAGCAAGAAGAACUACCUUUGGAUUCAAGCCUUGGCUCCUGCCUGACAUCAGGAUACUCCUAAAAAAACAGCUGUCAUUUUUCCAGUGUAGGAAUUUUGGGUAGCAAAUCAAAGACAUGUAAUCAGAAAUAAAUCAUUUCACUGAACUGUCUGUUACUCACACACAUCAAUAAUAUAUGUCUUAGG